AUACGUAGGGGGCAAGCGUUAUCCGGAUUUACUGGGUGUAAAGGGAGCGUAGGCGGGAGCUUAAGUCAGCGGUUAAAUGGUGCGGCUCAACCGUGCCCUGCCGUUGAAACUGGGUUUCUUGAGAGUGCAAGAGGCGGAUGGGGUUUAUGGGGUUGCGGGGAAAUGCUUAGAUAUCAUGAAGAACUCCGAUUGCGAAGGCAGUCCGCUGGGGCACGUCUGACGCUGAUGCUCGAAGGUGCGGGAAUCAAACAGGAUUAGAUACCCUGGUAGUCCGCACGGUAAACGAUGAUUACCCGCUGUCGGCGGUAGACAGUCGGCGGCCAAGCGAAAGCGAUAAGUAAUCCACCUGGGGAGUACGCCGGCAACAAUGAAACUUAAAUGAAUUGGCGGGG
rnacentral:rRNA from 1 species